GUCCAGGGCUUAAAAAGUGCUUGCAUUGAAAAGGCUAACACAGCAGGGAAGGUCCGUCUCCAUUAAACCCAGAAAGGAGACUGUAAAACUCCUCUUUUGAUUCUGUCUGGGGUCAUAACU
rnacentral:snoRNA from 1 species